rnacentral:rRNA from 1 species
AGUGAACGCUGGCGGCAGGCCUAACACAUGCAAGUCGAACGGCAGCACAGCAGUAGCAAUACUGUGGGUGGCGAGUGGCGGACGGGUGAGGAAUACAUCGGAAUCUACCUUGUCGUGGGGGAUAACGUAGGGAAACUUACGCUAAUACCGCAUACGAACUAUGGUUGAAAGCGGCGGACCGCAAGGCGUCGCGCGAUUGGAUGAGCCGAUGUCCGAUUAGCUAGUGGCGGGGUAAAGGCCCACCAAGGCGACGAUCGGUAGCUGGUCUGAGAGGAUGAUCAGCCACACUGGAACUGAGACACGGUCCAGACUCCUACGGGAGGCAGCAGUGGGAAUAUUGGACAAUGGGGGCAACCCUGAU